UCAUUCUACUAUUCCCCCACCCAGCCCCGCCCAGAUGGCAUGUCUGUCAUCUGGGCGGGGCUGGGUGGGGGAAUAGUAGAAUGA